GUGCUAAUCUGCGUCAGCUGGGGUUGUAUUUGGAAGAGGCGCUGCCUCCAGUCAAGUCUGUUUUUUUUAGGUGGGGACUGUAGGCCUUUGUGCCCUGCUGGAAAUCGUGAAAAGCAAGAGAGAAGAGUCCCAGUUAUUCUUUCUGCCUUUGAUAAGUGAAUUUAGGGCAACUACUAGUGCCAGUAGGCAUGGGGGAUCUACCGAUGAAGAAGACACAAACUCUCCACUCUCAUGGAGUUUACAGAGAAUAAUGAAUGAGAUUAAUUAAGAAAUGAAUCAGAUUAAUUGAAUGAAAUUGCCAGACUGAAUGAAGUGAAUGGCCCGAAUAUAAACAAUUUCCAAAUACAGAUAACACUGCAUAUCUGGUGUUGGCAAUACUCCCUUCACGCUUGAGGAAGAAGUGUGACCCUUUGUCUGUUGGGGUACCUUUCAUUUCGCACUUUCUCCUCUGCUGCUCUCCAGAGGAAGUUAAUGUCCCAAAGUUGUGUGUCAUGCCUGAAGUGUCUGGGGUCCCUGAGUGCCUGUGGUGCCCAAGAGCUAUGAAUCUGCUAUCAUCCACACAGAGGGUACCUUCUGCAUGGGCUAUCUCUGCAGCGAUGCUGCAAGUGGAAGCUAACCCUAGGAUGACUGGCCUCUGACACUUGAGCCAUCCUAUCAUCUGUCGUGGGUUGACCCAUCCAACCCCUCAAUGAGCUGACCUUGAGGACCACUGACAGAGGAGCAGUCAACAGAAAUUAAUUGUUAAAUACCCAGAAAAUCGCAAAUGGUAUUUAAUAUGCAGUUCAUCAAAAGCAAAAGUUCCUUAAAUUUUCAUCUAGAAAAGUUAUUUAUAAGGGAUAAAUGUAUAAAUAUGUUGUAUGCAAAUAUUAUAUUCAAGGGCAAGACCAUGAAAACAGUUUAAGAAUCCAACAACAGGGAAUUGGAUAAAGACAUCAGAGUGCACUUGUCAAAAUACAGCUAUCAAGAAUGAUGAUGUUGAACAAUAGUUUAGCAAUAUAAUUGUCUAGAACCACAGGGAGUCUGAGAUUUUACCCAACUUGUAAGUUAACAACUCUGCCAUAGCUUCAUGAAAGAAGACACAAGACCCCUGGGUCAGGAACAAAGGUCUCUAAUACCGCAAUAUCAGGAGCCAGAAUUUCAGGACCUUUAUUCCUGACAGUUUCUCAAGUCCUAAUUACCACAGAGUUACAGGAAAAGGCCAGGUAACACUAGCACUGCCAUCAGUGGCUGUAUUACAGAACAGGAACUCCAAGCUUAGGAAACCCAAAUCUUUUAUAGUUAACAAUUAAACACAUCUGCCAUUGUUCCGAAGGGAGACGCUUCAGAACACACCUGUUUACUAUAUAAAUAUCUGUGAAAAGAUAGACAGGAAAAUAGGUGGAGAAUGCCUCUGCUCACAAGAUGUGCAGAAACGUGAGAGGCUCACGGAGAACUGUUUCCCUACAAUGACAAAACGCUGACAAUACAUUGUUAUGUAAAAUAAAGCAGGCAUUUUUCACCUCA